rnacentral:rRNA from 1 species
GAUGAACGCUGGCGGCGUGCCUAAUACAUGCAAGUCGAGCGAAGCGGGGACGGGUGCGUAACACUUGGAUACCCUCCUAUACGACUGGGAUAACUUCGGGAAACCGGAGCUAAACCGGCUACUUAUAUCUGGAUCCACGCUGCAUUAGCUCGUUGUUAAGGUAACGGAUUACCAAGGCAACGAUGCAGAGCCGACCUGAGAGGGGGAUCGGAAACACUUGAACUGAGACACGGUCCAGACUCCGACGGGAGGCAGCAGUAGGGAAGCUUCCGGAAUGGGCGAAAGCCUGACGGAGCAACGCCGGGGGAGGGAUGAAGGUCUACGGAUCGUAAAACGCUGUUAUUAGGGAAGCGGUACCUAAUCAGAAAGCCACGGCUAACUACGUGCCAGCAGCCGCGGUAAUUC